CCUUUUUCCUCCGGCUUCUGGGCGGCUCGGCGAGGGCCCCUGCCGGCGGGAGUCGGGAGCGGCCCGGGCCGCGCCGGGAGCGGGGCGCGGGGCCCCGCCGCCCUGGGGAGCGGGGUCGUGAAGCAGCCCGGGCGGGGGGCGCUGCGGGCAGGGCCAGGACCCGCGCGGGCGGGCGCGGAUGGAGGGCUGCGGGGCUGCGGGGCUGCGGGGCUGCCGGGCUGCCGGGGGCCCUGAGGUCGCGGGGCCGCCGGGACUGGGACCAGGAUGGGGUCGCCGGCGGGCAGCGUACUCGGAGGCCCGGGGGCCUCGGCCGGGAGCGUGGGAGCAGGGGCUACCCCAUGCGGUCACGCGGGGACCCCCGUAAGCUGGGAGUGUCCACUCGCCUUCCACCAGCAUGGCAACGUCUUCACAGUACCGCCAGCUGCUCAGUGACUACGGGCCACCGUCCCUAGGCUACACCCAGGGAACUGGGAACAGCCAGGUGCCCCAAAGCAAAUACGCGGAGCUGCUGGCCAUCAUUGAAGAGCUGGGGAAGGAGAUCAGACCCACGUACGCAGGGAGCAAGAGUGCCAUGGAGAGGCUGAAGCGCGGCAUCAUUCACGCUAGAGGACUGGUUCGGGAGUGCUUGGCAGAAACGGAACGGAAUGCCAGAUCCUAGCUGCCUUGUUGGUUUUGAAGGAUUUCCAUCUUUUUACAAGAUGAGAAGUUACAGUUCAUCUCCCCUGUUCAGAUGAAACCCUUGUUUUCAAAAUGGUUACAGUUUCGUUUUUCCUCCCAUGGUUCACUUGGCUCUGAACCUACAGUCUCAAAGAUUGAGAAAAGAUUUUGCAGUUAAUUAGGAUUUGCAUUUUAAGUAGUUAGGAACUGCCCAGGUUUUUUUUGUUUUUUAAGCAUUGAUUUAAAAGAUGCACGGAAAGUUAUCUUACAGCAAACUGUAGUUUGCCUCCAAGACACCAUUGUCUCCCUUUAAUCUUCUCUUUUGUAUACAUUUGUUACCCAUGGUGUUCUUUGUUCCUUUUCAUAAGCUAAUACCACUGUAGGGAUUUUGUUUUGAACGCAUAUUGACAGCACGCUUUACUUAGUAGCCGGUUCCCAUUUGCCAUACAAUGUAGGUUCUGCUUAAUGUAACUUCUUUUUUGCUUAAGCAUUUGCAUGACUAUUAGUGCUUCAAAGUCAAUUUUUAAAAAUGCACAAGUUAUAAAUACAGAAGAAAGAGCAACCCACCAAACCUAACAAGGACCCCCGAACACUUUCAUACUAAGACUGUAAGUAGAUCUCAGUUCUGCGUUUAUUGUAAGUUGAUAAAAACAUCUGGAAGAAAAUGACUAAAACUGUUUGCAUCUUUGUAUGUAUUUAUUACUUGAUGUAAUAAAGCUUAUUUUCAUUAACAAUUUGUAUUAAAAUGUGGGUUCCUUGAA